rnacentral:rRNA from 1 species
GUAAAAGUCGUAACAAGAUUUCCGUAGGUGAACCUGCGGAAGGAUCAUUAGUAUAGAUCGCUGUCCUGGGACAGUGCCAGUAUAUUUCGCAGGGUGAAAAGCCCAAGGCAGUCCGGGCCCGUAGCUCCCCGCCCGAUGCGCUCGCGGCGGGUCCCCCUUGUACGUCCACCCACUGCCGAGGGGCGUGUUCACCCUUGCCGGCGCGCCCAUACGUCCGUUGCACUCGCCCCGCGGAGGAGACCGGCCGCGCGCAGCAGGCCCCCGCGCCGGGCGGCGUUAAGUUGGAAUCCUUCCCUGCGACCCUGGCUUUGGAGUCCGGGCGGCGCGCCGCAACCCCACUCUCCGCGUACCCGACCACGUUGCUUCCCCGGGGAGGUCCCCGGGGGAGGUCCCCGAGCGCACCAUGCCGCCCAACCCGCCCGCGCCCCCUCCGUCUGAUGGCCAGCGAGCCUACCAAACGGGGAAUCAGAUAGGUAACGAAAACAAAACUUUCAACAACGGAUCUCUUGGCUCCCGCAUCGAUGAAGAACGCAGCGAAAUGCGAUAAGUAAUGUGAAUUGCAGAAUUCAGUGAAUCAUCGAAUCUUUGAACGCACAUUGCGCCCCCCGGCAUUCCGGGGAGCAUGCCUGUUCGAGCGUCUCUGGAGAGAGCCCCUCACGCCGGCGGAGGCGUGGUCAUGGCGGAGGUGGCGUGCCCCGAGCGGGAGGCCACCGCGCUGGAAUCCAUGGGCGGACGCCUGCCGCGUGGCCGAGCGUGAUAUGACGCAUUGGCGCUCGCGCGCGGCGAGGCUGCCGGCCCUUGCCCGCCAGUCGGGCGGGGACAGCAACACUUGGGAACUCCUCGAAUCAGGUAGGGAUACCCGCUGAACUUAAGCAUAUCAUA